CGGCUUUGUGCCUACGCGCACGGCUGGUCGAGCCACCGCCGCUUCGGCUGAUGCACUGCUUCCUCGGCCAAAGUCCUCUCACCUCCUCCCCGUGAGAGCGGCAGAACCUGUCACUCCAAGUGGCAGAGGAGGAAACUUGCGGGGCAAGGGCCUCCCCGCCGUCUCCCCACACCCGAGGAGGACUCAGUCCAGGCGCCGGAUUUUCGCUAGUCGCCUGAGCCCUGGUGGGAAGCGUCCUAUGGCGAAAGGGAUCAGUUUGGGUUACGUCAGUGAGAGAGUAAGCAGUUCUCCUGAGGCAAAAGGCGCUCAGUCAAAUCUGAUGAAUAUAGACAAGAAAAGAAGCUGGCCCUUUCCUACCCUUCGGCUGACAUUACUAACUGGAGGGUUUAAACGCUUGGAGAAAGGUGCCUGUUUUGCGUUAGUGGGUGUGGAGCCACUAGUUUCGCUCCAAAGCACUGGGGCUAGAGAGAAGAUUAAGGCCCAGUGUCUGCACCAAGGAGCUUGCUGUUUAAGCAAGAAGACGUGCCAGUAGUGGCACUGAGGUGCUCCAGAGCACGGAGGAGGGCCUUUCAGGUCCGGCGUCUCUGAAAUGGGGUAACUCCCGUUCUGGUAGGCCCUGAUGAGCGAGGCUCCCCGGAGCCGACGGGGCACCAGCUCUCUGAUGCUGUCACGUGGUGAAAAGUGCACCAAGCGAAGACUCCGCAGGCUCCCAAGGCCCAGAGACGUGGAGAGCGGCCAGAGCGUGCUGAAGGCAGCGGAAGCGGUGCGGGCCGGGAGCUCCCGUCACGCCGGGGAAGAGGAAAACAACACGGAAAACAGACGAAACUAAUAGGAACCUUCCAAGUUGUGAAAAUGUAAACCGGUGACUAGAGACAUUCAUUUCAGUUUGCUUUUGGUAAUUCACUGGGAACGGAAGGAAACAUUUUAAAUCUAUAAAACUGCUGACUAAUCCAAUAGGUAAAAUUUAGAGGGAAUUCCC